rnacentral:tRNA from 1 species
GGCCGGCUGGCGCAAUGGUAGCGCGUCAGACUUCUAUCCUCACUGGAGGAGUAGCAAUCUGAAGGCUGCGGGUUCGAGCCCCGCGUUGGUCA